GACGAACGCUGGCGGCGUGCUUAACACAUGCAAGUCGAGCGGUAAGGCCCUUUCGGGGGUACGACGAGCGGCGAACGGGUGAGUAACACGUGGGUGACCUGCCCUCCAGCUCUGGGAUAAGCCUGGGAAACUGGGUCUAAUACCGGAUAUGACUCCAUGACGCAUGUUGUGGGGUGGAAAGCCUUGUGCGGCUGAGGAUGGGCCCGCGGCCUAUCAGCUUGUUGGUGGGGUGAUGGCCUACCAAGGCGACGACGGGUAGCCGGCCUGAGAGGGCGACCGGCCACACUGGGACUGAGACACGGCCCAGACUCCUACGGGAGGCAGCAGUGGGGAAUCUUGCGCAAUGGGCGAAAGCCUGACGCAGCGACGCCGCGUGAGGGAUGACGGCCUCGGUGUAACUA
rnacentral:rRNA from 1 species